CCUACGGGAGGCAGCAGUGAGGAAUAUUGGUCAAUGGCCGUAAGGCUGAACCAGCCAAGUCGCGUGAAGGAAGAAGGAUCUAUGGUUUGCAAACUUCUUUUAUAGGGGAAUAAAGUUAUCCACGUGUGCAUUUUUGCAUGUACCCUAUGAAUAAGCAUCGGCUAACUCCGUGCCAGCAGCCGCGGUAAUACGGAGGAUUCGAGCGUUAUCCGGAUUUAUUGGGUUUAAAGGGUGCGUAGGUGGUUUUUUAAGUCAGCGGUGAAAGUUUGUGGCUCAACCAUAAAAUUGCCGUUGAAACUGGAAGACUUGAGUGUGUUUGAGGUAGGCGGAAUGCGUGGUGUAGCGGUGAAAUGCAUAGAUAUCACGCAGAACUCCGAUUGCGAAGGCAGCUUACUAAGCCAUAACUGACACUGAAGCACGAAAGCGUGGGGAUCAAACAGGAUUAGAUACCCGUGUAGUC
rnacentral:rRNA from 1 species